CGACUCAGACCGUGGCAAAGAUGUCCCCACACAAGGACUGAGGGUGUUGGUAGCUGUACACACAUAUGUCCCUGCCUGUGAUCUCUGUACGUUGCUGAUGGUC